rnacentral:pre_miRNA from 1 species
CUUAUACUCCCUCCGUCCGAAAAUACUUGUCAUCAAAAUGAAUAAAAAGGGAUGUAUCUAGAACUAAAAUACAUCUAGAUACAUCUCCUUUUAUCCAUUUUGAUGACAAGUAUUUCCGGACGGAGGGAGUAUUAU